rnacentral:rRNA from 1 species
UACGAAGGGGGCUAGCGUUGCUCGGAAUCACUGGGCGUAAAGCGCACGUAGGCGGAUUUGUAAGUCAGGGGUGAAAUCCCGAGGCUCAACCUCGGAACUGCCUUUGAUACUGCAAAUCUCGAGUCCGGAAGAGGUGAGUGGAAUUCCUAGUGUAGAGGUGAAAUUCGUAGAUAUUAGGAAGAACACCAGUGGCGAAGGCGGCUCACUGGUCCGGUACUGACGCUGAGGUGCGAAAGCGUGGGGAGCAAACAGG